AAUAAAUGAAUUUCUGUGUUUUUUUAAAAUUUUUGACUAUUCGUCUUAUUUAAAAAUUUUUAUGAUUAAAAUUUUUAUUGUUACUACAUGAUAAAACAUGAAUAGUACUUUAUGUGUGAUUAAUUUUUUUUAAUUUUUUAAUAAAUUUUUUAAAUAAGACGAAUGGUCAAACGUCGACCUAAAAAAUCCAG
rnacentral:pre_miRNA from 1 species